GACGAACGCUGGCGGCGUGCUUAACACAUGCAAGUCGAACGGUGAAGCUCCAGCUUGCUGGAGUGGAUCAGUGGCGAACGGGUGAGUAACACGUGAGCAACCUGCCCCUGACUCUGGAAUAAGCGCUGGAAACGGCGUCUAAUACUGGAUACGAGAAGGGUCCGCAUGGGCACUUUCUGGAAAGUUUUUCGGUUGGGGAUGGGCUCGCGGCCUAUCAGCUUGUUGGUGAGGUAAUGGCUCACCAAGGCGACGACGGGUAGCCGGCCUGAGAGGGCGACCGGCCACACUGGGACUGAGACACGGACCAGACUCCUACGGGAGGCAGCAGUGGGGAAUAUUGCACAAUGGGCGAAAGCCUGAUGCAGCGACGCCGCGUGAGGGAUGACGGCCUUCGGGUUGUAAACCUCUUUCAGCAGGGAAGAAGCGAAAGUGACGGUACCUGCAGAAGAAGCACCGGCUAACUACGUG
rnacentral:rRNA from 1 species